UGUGUGUGAAUAUGUGUGAGUUUGAAAGUUUAGAUAUUAAACCACAUAAAUUGAGAUAUUAAAUCCUAAAAGUUGAGAUAUUCAACCUCAUAAGUUGAAU